rnacentral:tRNA from 1 species
GCAGUGAUGGUUCAGCAGUAGAAUUCAUGCCUUCCGUGCGGGGGACCUGGGUUCAAUUCCCGGCCAGUGCA